CUGAGACAGGGGGGUCCAGUGCAGGUAACAGGAAACAGUCAAAGGCCUGGAACCUUAUUUAAACAGAUUGCAAAUAUCUCUGAAUCAAUGUUAUAACAAUCGAUAGUGCCCUUCAACAUUUAAAAUAAAGAAAGGAGAGAUGUCCAGGGUGCACUGUUAAAUGGAAAUAAAAAGAAAAACCUGAAUGUGUAAUGUAGUGCACCUAAACAAUCCAAAUGCAUACAGUGUAUGUGUAAAUAUCCGAAUCCAGUUAUGAUGUGUUGUUCAUCACAAGGAAUGAAACAGACAAGGAUAAUGCAGAAGCCUCCUAAUAUAGGUGAAUGUACUUUACGUCCAAUCCAUCACAAACAUGUCAAAUUAAAACACACAGAACAUCAUACAGGCGUCAGCUAUAUCGUUCCAGUUGUCAGGUCUUGAGUUGGGGCAGAGUUCCAAAACAAAUUAACAAAACAAAGAAUUGCAUUCCUUACUAGCGAUCCCAAAGAAUGCAAAGGGAGGGCCGUGCUCCACCACCACUACUUGAGUCCAUUAAAUCUAGUGAUGGGAAGACAACGGCCAGGAACAUUUCAGGUUGGGAAUUGUUCUUGAUUGACUUCAUCAAGGACACUACCUUCAGAUUGUCAUCCUUUGACCAUUGGCUCGCCCUUCUAAAAGGCUGCACAAUGUAUUUUCAACGUUCAGCUGAGCCAAUACUAUAACGGUCUCUUUCAGUAAUAAGGAAGACGAAGGAGUAGACAAGUGAAUUUAUUGUUUACAGGCAGAAUUAUACACAAUGCCCCUUUAAGGUAUGAUCGUAUUUCUGUUCAGGAUUUUACACAGUGCCCCUUUAAGGUAUGAUCGUAUUUCUGUUCAGGAUUUAACACAGUGCCCCUUUAAGUUGGGAUUGUAUUUCUGUUGAGGAUUGUACACAGUGCCCAUUUAAGGUGUGAUUGUAUUUCAGUUCAGGAUUGUACACAGUGCCCAUUUAAGGUGUGAUUGUAAUUCUCUUCAGGAUUGUACACAGUGCCCAUUUAAGGUGUGAUUGUAAUUCUCUUCAGGAUUGUACACAGUGCCCAUUUAAGGUGUGAUUGUAAUUCUCUUCAGGAUUGUACACAGUGCCCAUUUAAGGUGUGAUUGUAAUU
ensembl:lncRNA